CACCGCGGUUAUACGAGAGGCCCAAGUUGAUAGACUCCGGCGUAAAGAGUGGUUAAGAUACAUCUACAAAACUAAAGCCGAACGCCCUCAGGGCUGUUAUACGCUCCCGAAGGUAAGAAGUUCAAUCACGAAAGUGGCUUUAUAUUAGCUGAACCCACGAAAGCUAUGACA
rnacentral:rRNA from 1 species